rnacentral:rRNA from 1 species
AAUGAACGCUGGCGGCGCGCCUAAUACAUGCAAGUCGAGCGAGAAGACGUAGCAAUACGUUUGUAAAGCGGCGAACGGGUGAGGAAUACAUGGGUAACCUACCCUCGAGUGGGGAAUAACUAGCCGAAAGGUUAGCUAAUACCGCGUACGCUUCUUGGACUUCGGUUCAGGGAGGAAAGCGAUGCCGAGGGUAUCGCGCUCUUGGAUGGGCUCAUGUCCUAUCAGCUUGUUGGGAGGUAACGGCUCACCAAGGCUUCGACGGGUAGCUGGUCUGAGAGGACGAUCAGCCACACUGGCACUGCGACACGGGCCAGACUCCUACGGGAGGCAGCAGUAAGGAAUAUUGCGCAAUGGGCGAAAGCCUGACGCAGCGACGCC